rnacentral:rRNA from 1 species
UACGAGGGGGGCAAGCGUUGUUCGGAAUUAUUGGGCGUAAAGCGCACGUAGGCGGCUUUGUAAGUUAGAGGUGAAAGCCCGGGGCUCAACUCCGGAAUUGCCUUUAAGACUGCAUCGCUAGAAUUGUGGAGAGGUAAGUGGAAUUCCGAGUGUAGAGGUGAAAUUCGUAGAUAUUCGGAAGAACACCAGUGGCGAAGGCGACUUACUGGACACAUAUUGACGCUGAGGUGCGAAAGCGUGGGGAGCAAACGGG